rnacentral:rRNA from 1 species
AUUGAACGCUGGCGGCAGGCCUAACACAUGCAAGUCGAGCGGAUGAAGGGAGCUUGCUCCUGGAUUCAGCGGCGGACGGGUGAGUAAUGCCUAGGAAUCUGCCUGGUAGUGGGGGAUAACGUCCGGAAACGGGCGCUAAUACCGCAUACGUCCUGAGGGAGAAAGUGGGGGAUCUUCGGACCUCACGCUAUCAGAUGAGCCUAGGUCGGAUUAGCUAGUUGGUGGGGUAAAGGCCUACCAAGGCGACGAUCCGUAACUGGUCUGAGAGGAUGAUCAGUCACACUGGAACUGAGACACGGUCCAGACUCCUAAGGGAGGCAGCAGUGGGGAAUAUUGGACAAUGGGCGAAAGCCUGAUCCAGCCAUGCCGCGUGUGUGAAGAAGGUCUGCGGAUUGUAAAGCACUUUAAGUUGGGAGGAAGGGCAGUAAGUUAAUACCUUGCUGUUUUGACGUUACCAACAGAAUAAGCACCGGCUAACUUCGUG